GAUGCUGAUGCUCUUCCUGCAGGGGGUAUACUUGAGAGUCACUGCUCUAAUGGAUAGAACUAUCUGGAAUACUGACCUCUAGGGGGCGCUCCAUUCCUGACAGCACUAAUCCCACCAAAACAGGCUAGAGGGUCCCUAUACUGGGAACUGAAUUUUACCGAGUCCUUUCUUUGUCUCUUAGGGAGCAUGCUUCAGUGGAACUUGCAAGGAGCAAGGAGCAGAUAAGGUGAUUUUUAACCAAGAACAGAUAAGGUGCCCGAAGGCCAGCUCACGUGUCUGUGUCUGCCUGCCUUGGUGAUGAUGCCCUGCUCUUUGGCCAGGCCCCUCAGGUCUGCACUCAAGAAGAUCCAGGCUUAUGGUCCCUUUUGACACCAGAUGCAAAAGGAAGAGGCAAAGUCCUUUCUACGUGGAUGUACAGAGUUGUCCAAAUGAAGUGAUGAAGAAAGGUUAAGAUGCAUGUUUGGUUGAAAAGGGAUACUUUUUCUCAUAAUUAGUCACAAAUUAAAGCCAUUAAAAAAAGAGAAAGUACCCCUUACUUUCGACCUUGCUCUGGAGGACCAGCAUUUGUAUUCUUCCUACAAAUCAUUUGUUGAUACAGUGGGACCACGAGGUUGGCUUCUACCAACACAUCCAACUGCCAAGCAACUCCAUCUGCAGAGGAGACGCAAAGAGCCAAUGCCUGAAAAUGAAUUUGUUGGCAUUUCAAGGACAAACAUCUCUUUGGCUGCUACUACUGAACCUUCAAUCCGAAAAUGGGAGGAAAAUCUAGGACCAGGUCAGCCACUCCAGAAAACACCCACUCUACAUCCCAAAUCAGUUGGUGUGUAUCUGAGACUCCGAUUCUGUUUAAAUUCAAAUCCCGAGGAUUGGAAAUGGAGACCCAGAGUGUAAUGACCAAUUUAUGUGUCACCUUAUCUGGUUUCAGGGAUGCUGAGACAUUUGGUUAAAUAUUAUUUCUGGUUGUUUCUGUGAGGCUGUUUCUGGAGGAGACGAGCAUGUGAAUUUGCACGCUAAGGAAAGCAGACUGUCCUCUCCUGUGGAGUGAGCCACAUUCUGUCCCCCAAAAGCUUGAAGAGAGUGAAGAGGCUGAUGAGAAGGGAGUCUUGCAGCCAGGACUUUGGUCUUCUUUUGCCUUCACACCGAUUCAGACUGAACUUCUACCAUUGGCUCUCCUGGGUCUACCAUCAGCUCUUCUCAGCUCCACAAUCAGGAAGGGCCAUUUUGGUCUGAUUGGGCUGUUGACGCUGGCGGACCUCCUUGUGGACAUUUCCUAGUCUCUGACUAAAGAGGUCAAGAUAAUGAUGACAGAGUCAAGAUGCUGGAAGGAGGAGCAUGGAAAUUUUGAUCCCCAGCUCUCUGGAGCCUAAGGUCUCUGCUAGGUUGCAAGACCACAGGGGCUGUGCCUUAUUCAUGUUUACAGUCUCAUCCCAUUUCCUAGCGUCUUGCAAGAUACUCAGUGCUUGCUGAGAUAAAGAAGGAAAUGUUGGCCUCUAAAACAGAUUUGCAAACGUCUUGAAAAUGCAAGCCCACCAGUGUAGGAUUCCUUCUGCGCAGAGAGCAAGGUGAAGCACCAUUUCUUAGAUUUCUACUUGCUCGGAGUUAAUGUUUGAACUUUCCCAUGCAGAGCUAUAGGAAUGAUGAACACCUAGCAAGCUGAGUAACUCUCUUUCUUGGCAGGUACAUCUGAUUGGUGCUAAUGUAAUGAAUGGGGCUGAACAACUAUAUGGAAAGCUGCAGGAACUAAGAGUGGCAAGUGUUUCUGAGCUCCUAAUCAACUUGCUUGAAGAUAUUUUUCUGAAAAGAAUUGGUUAGACUCCCCUGUGCAAUGCAAGAAACUUGGCUUCUCUGGACUCUGUGAUAACUCCAAUGCCUCAGCAUUUCCAAAGGUCCAAGAAUGACUUCCAGGAAGAAAUUCAGAGGAAGAGAGAGCCCAGAAAACAAGGAAUAAAGAAAUUCUGAGUUGCCGGUGGAAACUUUGGGAAAGGGUCAGUCAAGAUGGUUGAGAACUGAAUAUUGGUUAUGUUUACCCAAACUAUGGAAACUAAAGAAAAGUAGAAAGUUGGAAGAGAAGAAGGACUAUAUGUUGUAUCAUCACCAAAAACAAUAGUUACUGCAUUCAUUUUUCUAGCUUAUCUGAGAAGAGGCUUGGAGAGUCUACAGUCAGUCACCACAGUCUUCCAGCCUAUGGGCUUCCUGUGAGAAGAUGGAUGUAGUUGUCAAGGGCCUCAAGCCCUGCAGAAGGUUUUUUCACAACAUGAAAUGUAGAGCUGAGAGUAUUUCUUCAGAGGUGAUAUCACGCUUGUUUGGAGACUUGGAAGAUUCCUGAAAAACCUUAGCUCUUGGUUUUCUGGGGACUGGGAUCGAGAGUGGAUUCUUGAUGAUGAGUAUCUCUUCCACUUACCACCAAGGCAAUUUUUUGGUUUUUUUCCCACUGUUGCUCUGAAUCUGGCCAGUGUCAGAAGAUUUGAAACCAUACACCUCAGACUGGGACUUGAACCCACCGUUUUUCUUUAAAUUGAAAUCACACACCUGGUCCAGGACUUACCGAAGUUCAGGAUUUUAUGUCUCAGCACAGAAGAAAUUCAUCAAGAGGCAAAGUAAUAGAUGAGGAAAUUGGAGCAGAAAGAAGUCACAUAAUCACCUUUCAGAAGAGUUAGGAUUUGAACCAGAACUUGCUGCCAGUAUAUUCCCUCUCCUGCUCUUCUCAGGGUGAUCUUAACGGGACUUUUUCAUGGUUUCAGCCUCGAAGUGGCAUAAUCACUUCUGCUCACAUUCCAUGGGCUUGAACAAAUUCCAUGGCCCCAUCGAGAAGAGAAGAAUUAUUUCUGCCACACGUUUAAGGAUGGCUCUGACAAUUGAAAUUCUGUUUGCUGUGGGCACCAGUGAUGGUACUUACUGAUCAGGGAGACACCCUCUCUCUGCCCCGUCUGAUCUUCUGUUUAACAACCACCGAAGGGCUGUUUCCUUAAGGUCACGCCCACCCGUAAUCCAUCUCCACGCAGACGACAGCUAAUGGGGCCGGGCUGCCCACGUGGAUCUCCUAGAUAAUUGGCAGAGUGUGACCUGGAAACAAAUGGCUAAAACAGUUCUGGGGAAUGGAGGCUCUUGUGGUGCCCAGCAAAAGCCAGAGAGAAGCGGUGAUGCCAGGGAGCUAACACGAGGCAAUCUGCAAAAUGAACUCAAGGUCGACAGAAGCCAAAGGAAGAAGAUGGCUACCAAACCAAGGAGAGAGGCCACAGAGGAAAUCAGACUUGCCAACAUAUUCAUCUUGGAUGUCUAGCCUCCAGAACUCAACCUGGGAAAGUCAAAGACACAACCGAGCAAAGUGCACUGUCCUGAAGAGAAAAGCACAUCAGUGGAGGUGGCAGUGAGCCCUUUUGGAGCACCUUCACUUUUUAGCAAGAGACUCAAAGGAUUUUAAAUUAAUCAUUUCAAUGAAUUAAACUACGAUGAUGGUGGCAGCAUAAAACAGCAUCCAAGAAGUGUUUUUCCAGUGAUGGGCAUUUCCGCUGAUGCUCAGAGACUUGGGAGGCACUGGGGUGGGCAACUGUCCACUAGUGGAGUCCUGGCCCAGUGCUCACUGUGCAGCCCAGAAAUCCAGCCAGCUGCACAACUACAGGCACCAAGGAAAGACGACCUGAGGGUGCAGCAAGAAGGCAGCUGACUGCAAGCCAGGAAGAGAGCUCUCACCAGGACCCAAAGACCCUGGCAUUCUGAGCUCAGAUUUCCAGCCUCCUUAGUUAUUUACCUGUGAUGGCCAGCUGAGUCACGAAGAAGGUCAUUCUCGACUUCCUCUUCCUCCUCCAUGUAGAGAACAGCACGAUGGCAUUUCCAACAAUGGUGAAAACAAAGAGGACCCACAGAGUUAUCAACUGCUCAGUCUGUAAGAAACAAAGUAACACAAAACCUGUAUCAGAAAGGACCAGCAUGCUGCACAGAAGGAGGCUCAAAACCAAGUAGCUAGAAGAAACCUGGGGCAACCAGCAAAUGGAAGAGCCGAAGCAGAUGUGAGGCCAGGGCAUGGAGCUGAACCUCCUGGUGGAUGAGAACAGUUACAAAAUCCAACUGAAAUUGAUCUGAAAACUUUACACGAGUCUCAAACAACUGCUCUCAACAUCUUCUUUCAUCUGUAGAUGAAGAUGGCCUUUAAGGUGAGGGCUUUGACCGUUUUGGUGAAUUACUCAGUUUUCCUGGGGCUCUCCCAUGUAUACAUGUUAUUAAACUUUUGUUUGAUUAUCUCCAACCAAUCUGUCUCAUGUCAAUCUAAUUCUUAGAACAGACAGAAGAACCCAGAAGAGAAGAGGAAGAUUCCUUCCUCUCUGACAUCACCGAUAUCUCCUGCUUCUCCCCAAGGGAGGAUUAUUUUUCUCUAUUCCAUCGAUAUCAGAUCUGACUAUGAACUUAACUCUGACCAGUGAAUUGUGAGCAGAAGGGAAACGUGCCAUUUCUGGGCAGAAGCUGCAAGAACCAGCACAGGCUUCCCUAUUCUCUUUGUCUGUCUGUCUGCCUGUCUUCUAACUCUGGUUUAUGGAAGCUUGUGUUGUUCCAAGACAAAUCAGUAUCAAGGCUUGAAGACCUUUAAUUGGAGGUCUGCAGAAUUACAAUUUUGGAGACACAGACUGGAGUGAAACUGAGUGGUCCAGGGAAGAGAAAGAGGCAGGGGGUUUAUAAAGACAAAAAGCCACAAGGUUGUUAAAGUUGCCUUACAACAAUUGUGAUUGACUCUGAUGCAAGUCAGGAAAUAAUUGGUCCAUAGGAAUCACAGGUUGUUCUUGGAUAUGAGUCCAAUAAGUAGACAGGCUGUCACAAAUUAUUUUAGGGUAGUGGUUGCAUAAGUGUCUUGAGUUUCUGGCAGAUGUUGCAAUGGCUUCCUUAGGACAACACGUGGUCAAAAGGUCAGAUUCCAUCCAGGCUGACAUAUGCCCGAGUCACACUUUGUCCGUGGCUGCCAGGCUCCAGUGUAGAGAGCUCUCUUAGCAGCAGUGGUUCUCUUGUGAUUUUCCUCCCACGGUUGAGAUGGAGCUUCCAUCAGCCUGAGUCCCCAAGUGACUAUAAUAAGCAGAGGCCCCUUAUUAACCUCUGAUAAACAUGUGUGGCACCAAGAGAAACUAAACAUUAUGGUUUUAAUUCUCUGACAAUACCUGGCUAUUUGUUACUAUAGCAUAACCAAGUUUAACCUGAGUUAGUGAAGAGGUAAAUAAAAUAAUCAAUGGAAAAGACUAAGUGCUUGGCAGAGUCAGCAUCCAGUCGAUUACUUCAAGUUUUAUCUUGGGCUAGGGAAAAAAAAAAUCUCAAAAGGGACUAACUACAUUGGAAAGGUAAUCAAAUUUAUUCUUAAACCAAAACCAAAACAAUCUUCUGUUGGCCUGGAUUGCUGUGUUGCCAGGGACGAUGCUCCGUGACCCUAAAUGAAAGAAAGGAGACUUGCACUUGGGCGAUAACACUAUUCCCUUCCUUUCUAGUUAAAUUAGAAGUGGUGAAUAAUGGUUCUUGAGCGAACACUGGUUCAACACCUAUAUGUGAGUGGAAUUCUAAGAGCUCUGGGAAAAUUGCUUGUGCAGUGCCGCGCCUGAAACACCGCAGGCCAGGUCGAUUCAUGGCUGCAGGCCCACAGAGCAGUGAGGCGAGGAGACCUCAGGAGCUGGAAGAAGAGGAAUUAAGGGGAACCUUCUUCCCUGUGCUGCUGCUUCACCGAAGUCCAGCGAUCCCCUAGACCCUGUAUAACCUUCACCAUCUCACGCCCAGGGAGCUCAGGAUGGCUGCUGCAGCCCCAUUCAAGGAAGCCGUGCGUCUGAAUUCAAGGGAGAAAGAAGGGAGGACGUAAAAUGCCAGCCAUGUCUCUCUCCUUCUAUCAGAAGAAGAGAAACCUUUAUCAGAAGCCUCACAGACUUCCAACUGACUUUCUCAAACUGUGCUACUUUUUACUCCACGGAGACUAGGAUAAUGAGUAUUCAGCUGGGAAAGUCAGAAGGGGGUUGAGACUGUGGAAUCAAGCAGACAGCACUGUUACCUGCAGAAGCCCUUUCAGGACCUGUUCCUGAACGUAGUUUCCUCUUUUCCAGGCUCAGGGAGUACCUCCUCUCACUCAUACUGUUAAUGUUUUCUAAAAUUUGGUCUCAUCAUCAGUAUUCCUCACUAGCACUAACUAUGGUAUAGUAAGGAUUCAUGCUAAAUGGCUAAUGGUUGAUGUCUACUUGUAAAGUAAAAUAAAGAUGACCCUUGGAAAACAUUCAUAGAGCUGUAGCAGGAAUUCUUUGUCAGUGUUCAUGCCUAGCCCAAGGCUAAAGCCACGAUAAGGUUCAUUCCCUCUUUAGGACUCUCGGAGGGUCUCAUCAAGGUCGGGCAUGGCUGCUGGCACUGGAGACACAGGGGAGAAACAAGAAUCAGCUCCUAUCCUCAGGGAGCAGAGUUUGUGGAUACCAUGAGAUAGAUAACACAUGGCAGACAUGCAAUGGCAAGUAAGUCGAAGACUUGAGGAGGUGACAUCUGAACAAAGACCUAUAUCAAGUCCUCCUGGAGUUCUACCAUUACCCCCACUGCCGCUUAUGACUUUGAAAUGAAACAUGCUUUGUUGAAAGGUAAGGCUCUAUAUAAUUAUUUUUUUAAUUAAGCUUUACUUUAUACAGAGGGAAAUUCACCCUUCGGAUGUUUAGUUUUGUGAGUUUUGAUAAAUGCAACCAUCAUUACAAUCAAGAGACAGAAUAGUUCUAUCCUCCAAAGAGAUUCCCCCUGCGCCCCUUUGUAGACAGCCUCUUGUCUA